CACCGCCCCGUCACAUCACGAAAGUGGGCUGUACUAGAAGUCGGUGCGCGAACCGCAAGGACGCAGCCGCCCAAGGUAUAACUCAUGAUUGGGGUG
rnacentral:rRNA from 1 species